ensembl:lncRNA
ACAGCACAAUAAUCCACAGCCCGCUUUAUGGAGGUCACCAACAUUGUUCUCUGGGGUUGAGUAAUUCUGGAGACUUCGGCUGAUUGAGAGUAGAAAAUGGUUUAUGAGGAGCAGCUGGGGGAACUGGGGUGGUCUAAUCUGGAGAAGGCUCAGAGGAGGCCUUAUCACUUCUAUAACCACCUGAAAGGAGGCUGCAGCCAGGAGGAGUCAGCCUCUUUUCUCAGGUAAUGGUGAUAGGACAAGUGGUAUGGCCUGAAGUUGUACCAGGGGAGGUUUACACUGGAUAUCAGGAAGAUAUACAGAAAUUCUGUAUAGAGUGGGUGGUCAAGUCUUGGAGUGUUCUGUCGAGGGAAGUGAAGGAGGUUCCAUCUCUGGAGGUUUGGCUGUGGAUUCAGCUCUCAGAAGAAAGGCUGUCUGCAGGAGUCCUGGCGUCCCUUGGCAGCAUUGACAGUGAGACCCUCCCCCACUCUGCUUUCUACAGUGCUCAACAAGGUGAAGUGGAAGGUGUACACAUGUCAGAUGGCUCCCAGAAGUCUCCCACACUGCUAUAUGAAUUCUUACACUCAGAAGCAACAUCUGAGGAAAUGAGCUUGGGAAACCUGAGUGAAGUGAUUGCACUAAGCAGCAGGAAAGGGGAAUGCUGAGGUCUCAGAGAUGAAACAUCCCAGCAGCCCAUCUCUUCUCAGGCAGACUGCACAUGUAAAGUUACUUAGUCACGUGGUCAGCAGUGCUGUCCCACCCAGGUAUUGAGAAACUUUGGAUUUACCUACCCUCCACAAUCACAGGUAUGAUACAAAACUCUGAGAUUUAAAAUUUUCUAUACAUUUCUGUUUGUUUUUAGUCACUUUUCUUAUUUUUAUAUCCAAGCUUUCAUCAUUCAUUUCAGUAUACUGAAGCCAGUGCCCACCAGUCCUUGGGUUCUCUCUUUUCCUGUUUUAAAGAGGAAUGUGGCACAUGGUAUUUUGUCUUCUUCCUGGCUUCAAAGUUUCUCCCACCUGUCAUGGAUGGAGCCUCAGAAACAACCACAAGCACCUGUAUUAGAGCCUCAGCCAUCUCCUUUGGUGGCUCCAGAAUGCCUUUCCCUAGGCAUUCUAACCUGCCAGGUCUAACCUGCCUGCUUUUACCUCUGCCAGUGUGCUAAUUGUGUUAGCCACUUGACUGUAGUUCAUCUUUUGACUAUUGUAUAAGAGUAAUAUAAUAAAAUGGCA